CUGAGAAUUUGGUGAAAGCUAUGUGCUGUGCAAUGAAAAUGUAGUCUUUGCACGGGGUCGACAGACCCCUUGGAACUAUCGAUUUCCGCCCCCACACAUACUCCGAGAAGUUACGGCCCUCAGAUAAUGACCCCCAGAUCCAAGCUUUGGAGAGAGGACUCGACCAGCCCCGGACCCAGUAGGCUGCAGCGGAGCCUCGGAGCCGUAACCAAAACAAAGGAGCUCGGCCCAUGCCCGGCGACUCCCGGUCACAGAAGCAUCCACACCCUGCGCUCCGCUGGGUGGCCACCAAACCCGAUCCCAGGACCUGGUCUGCAAAACAAGGGGUGUAGAACUGUGGCCUCUAGGUCCCCCUAGAUUUUAUCACAGCCACCGGACACUUCCAAAAAAGGGUUUAACGUCGGUCAGGGAGCUGUGGUUGAAAGACGGUUUCUUAAACGUGAUAGGAAGCUAGGGGAAAAGGAGACAGGCAAAGCUAAAGAGGGAGAUCCGGCAGUUUUCACUUGGGCAUCCAAAAUUCGAAGUAAACAUCCAAGAAAGGUCACCGCAGCCCGAAAUCUACCACCCAAGCAGCUUCAGAAGCGCGGGAGCCAGGGAGCCCGGCCACGCGAAGGACCCUGGGGAUGUAGUCCCCAGGUCGACCCUUUCCGCAAAUCCGCAGAACUAGGCAACACUCAGGAACUACAACUCCCAGAAGGGAGCGCGCCUCCGCGACGCCCACAGUCCCGCAUCGAAAGAACUGGUACAGAACUGCACACCUAAACCCAGGCUCCUUCUCUCCACCAGCACAAAAGUAACAUCUAAGGAGCGAGGUCAUCAUGAACAUUUUCUAAGACCACUGACUCCAGACACCUUGACACCAGGACCACUGGCUCCAAGGCAUAAACGACUCAUGAAGGACACCUGAGCACUUGCCCUUAUUUUGACCAGUUCCUGGAUGCCUGACAGAACAUGUACACCAGACCAACAUCCUCAGUAAAAACUCCAGACCCCAAGCAAAGAUGAGACUCAUUCUCCUUUUCCUUUCUGAGUCUCCUAGAUGCUCGGUCUGUAUCUGCCCUCUCUAGAUCUUCAAUAAAUGCUACUUUCACUUCUUCCCA